ACCAUCGAGUCUUUGAACGCAAGUUGCGCCCAAAGCCUUCGGGUCGAGGGCACGUCUGCCUGGGUGUCACGC
rnacentral:rRNA from 2 species